CAGACAACUACACCACUGACAUUUUAAAUUAUGCUAAAAUAUCUCAUCCGCUUGAAAUAGCCUUUUGUAGUAGGUGAAAUACCUAGGCCUAAUAAUAAUUGAAUGGGAAAGUCAUUGAAAUUAACUUGUCAAAAGGUGUGGGAACCCAUCAAGGUCCUUAAGUUUGAAUUCUCUUUUCAGUGUUAUUACACUCUAAAAAAUGAUGGGAUAUUUUUUCUACCCAUUCGCUGGGUUAAGUAUUUUUACCUAUUUUGCUGGGUUGUAUUCUCGGUAAUGGCUCAUAUUGACCCAGCGUUUGGGUUCCUUGGUUGACACAAAGUGCACUUGGAAUAUUUGACCCAGCGCUUGGGUUAUCUCCUCGUCUUCUCGCGCUGUUCAAAGCCAAAACGUAACGGUCGAGAGGAGGACGACGUUGGACAGUAUAUGAGUAAAGGUGAGUGAUGAUAUUUGUUUUGCUAUAAAUCUAUAAAACUAGCUUUAUUUCAACUAGUGAGAAGUGUGAUAUUUUUGGGAUUUACAUAUUUAAGAAAAAGGGACCAUUCAAAAAUUUGAAUCAAAUUCAUCUGGGUCACUUGGCUGCUCAAGACGGCGCCUCUUCGAAUGUCUCCCAUCUGGAAUGGUCUUUUGGGGGGAUCUCACAUUUUGCAAUCUUUUGUAUAGCUGUGAGUACACAGUAACCUGUGACAAGACAAUUUAAAUAAAUGUUUCAAAUAUCAAACAAAUUCUUCAAACAAAUGCUAUCAACAAAAGCCAACAUGAAACACUUGGAUCAUCAACUGGCUGCAUUUCACUUACCCAUGUAUUCUUGUUGUUCAGGUCUCGGUCCUGCAGCAUGGGGUAGUAAAGGAAUAUUCUCUUUGCCAUAGCAGUAAUUUCUGGUUUUGAUGGGUAUCUGUCUCUAUCCCCCGUUGCCCUCAGGAUUGCGAUCAUACUGGUCAUGGUGUUUCGGAUGAGCCGGCAUCUGAGGUCCAAACUAGGAUUUAUGUAUUUUGCUAUCAAAUGUAUACCGAAAGAGCUGCUUUCCAGCCUUACCUCCCUAUUUUUGCUGGCAGUCUACAAAACGUAUGAUGCCAAAACCUAUGGCAUUGUUGCCGUUUUAAAGCCCAUAGUGGAGGAUGUGAAAUCAUUAGAGAAAGAGGGUGUUGAUAUCAAAACAUCAUCCUUUGAGGGAACAGUAAAAGUCAGCAUCUGCCAGGUUGUUGGUGAUAAUUUGGGGCUGAAUGCAGUUCUUGGAUUUACUGAAAGCUUUGCAAGCAAUUCUGCUUGCCGGUGGUGCCGUGUUCCAAAAGAAGUUCUUAGGGUACAGGUAAAAGAAGACCGUGGAAUUCUCCGAACUGCUGAGUCCAAUGAGAGAGACAUUGGUCUUGAUAGUGUCUCAGACACUGGCCUAAAACGUGCAAGUGCCCUCAGUGAUCUCCACUUUUUUGAUGUCAGCAAAAACAUGGCGCCAGACAUUAUGCAUGACAUCUUAGAAGGUGUAGGGAGUUAUGAGAUGAAGCUGAUCAUAAACUCACUGAUUAAGGAAGGACACUUUACAUUUACAUUUAUGCAUUUGGCAGACGCUUUUAUCCAAAGCGACUUACAGUGCACUUAUUAUAGGGACAAUCCCCCCGGGGCAACCUGGAGUUAAGUGCCUUGCUCAAGGACACAAUGGUGGUGGCUGUGGGGAUUGAACCAGCAACCUUCUGAUUACCAGUUAUGUGCUUUAGUCCACUACGCCACCACCACUCCAACACUUCACUGUAGACACACUAAAUUACAGGAUCACAAGCUUUGACUAUGGCUUUAGUGAUGUCCACAACAAGCCCACUUUGAUUACAAAGCAUUACCUGCGUAACAAAGAUGGGGUCAUGAAGCAGACAGCAGCACAGAUGUGGUGCCUUUUGAGACUGCUUCCUCUAAUGGUUGGAGAUCUAGUCCCAGAGUCAAAUAGGUUCUGGGAGCUACUGCUUCUCCUUCUUUCCUGCAUGAAAUUGAUUUUUUCUCCAUCUCUCACUGUCAAGAGUACAAUCUACUUGAAGUGGCUAAUAGAGGAACACCAUACUCUCUUUCUUGAGUUGUACCCACAUCAACAUCUGAAACCUAAACACCACUUCAUGUUGCAUUAUCCAAGAGCCAUAAGACAGCUUGGGCCAUUGGUGCAGUUUUGGACUAUGCGAUUUGAAGCGAAGCAUGGCUUCUUUAAACGCAUAAGCCAUAUCACAUGCAACUUCAGGAAUAUCUGUAAGACGAUAGCCAUUAGACAUCAAGUAAUGUUGUGUUACAAUUUAUUUUCUGAAGGUGUCUUUGAUCACAUUGUUGAUGUGGGCCAAGGUCACAGCACUAUUCUCGCUGAUCUUGAGAGAUGUGAUGAAAUCCAAGGAGGCUUCCUACACAGAGGUGUAUGUGCCAGCCUGGGUAAAACUUAAGGGAACAACAUAUAGGCCAGGUAUGACAGUGUUUGUGUCUUACUGUUCAAGUGGUGACCCACAAUUUGGAUGUAUAAGACACUGCUUGGCUUUUAACUCCAAAUUCAUAUUAGUGACUGAGAAGUUAGUCACUGUUGGAUUUGAAAAACAUUUAUUUGCCUUUGCUGUGCAACACACAGCAAAGAUGAUCUGACUGAUCAUCAUCCUGUUCAUACAGUUCAGUCAUUCAGAAAGAAUGAUGACUGUUUUAUGUGUCUCUCCGAUACAGGGUGUUGUAAUGGUCUGAAAAAAACUGAAAUCAGUUAUUGUUUAAAAUGGUCAAAUAUAAUGUCAUUUAAUUCCAUGUAAUCUAACCAUAUCUGGUUUAAUCCAAAUAAAGUUUUCUUAGUGUUUAGUGUUAUUGAAGGCUUUUCAAAAAUUAUUUAUAAAAUCAGUUUACAUUUUGUCAAACAAAUACAGUCUAGGUUGGGGAAGAUAUUUUUUUUUGGAGGCAAGCUUCAUCAUUAUCUAGCUCCAAGCAUGCAUAGAGUUCUGUGAAACCAGAGGCGCCCAUGUCCACAAGCGAGCUAUGGAGACGGGUCAGAACCAGUAGACCUUUGACAUAGAAUUUGUGCACAUUUCAGGCUUGGCAGUUGUGUGAGUCAAAAAGUGCAAUAUGAAAUAUGAUAUGUAUUUCCAAGUAUUCCUUAUCAAUUUCUCAGUUCAUUUUAAAUGCAUUAAGUUAACUUACAUUUUUAUAUAGAAUACUGUAUAUUGUAUUUGCCUAAACAUUGUUUUUUGGGGGUUUUUUGUUAUGUAGAACAAUAUCCCACCACAGCUCAACACUGCAUCGGAAAAUACACAGCCAACAUUUGUUCUUAAUCUUGUUCCAGAUGACACGUUUGUUAUGUUUCCUGACAACUAGGAAAAGCAUGACUACUGACAACUAUUUUAAAUUUGUUGUCAGUACCUUUUUGUAAAGUAACAUUUCCUAUUUGCAUUCAGUAAGAUACUGUAGUUUACUGACAACUCUGCGAUGUACCAGGAUAUCCGUGCAAUACUGAUGAAAGCACCACAUGGACCCUCCAUUGUGGAGAGUCUAGAGAGUAAUAAAAUUACCACCAAGCAAAGGCGUGCAAUGGUGCAAAUUACUGUUUCUUAUCUUAUUGAGAAAUAUGGUGAAACGUAAGUAUAAAUACGUUGUAUUUGCAUGUAUUUUCACCCAAAUCAAGACAGAAUGAGACUAUCUAUUUUGAAACAAUGUUUUUCUCUCUUAUUUGGCAAUCAUAAUACAGACCAUCAACAGAGACCAAAAAAGGCAAUGGCCAUGUCUCUAGUAGAGACAUUUCCCUGUCUCCGUGACCCUGAAGGAAAUGGCUUUCAUCAACUUUGUCUCCCGAGAGAGCAAUUCAAUUAAAAGAAUGGCUAAAAAACUAUACCAGACCACAGGACCAGGUCGAGCAGUAUAUGAAAGCAACUGCUCUUUUUAGGGCUCACUGGAUUUGCCACAACAGCUCCAAACCAAUAUGUAAUAGAUACUAAAGGCACCAUGGCACUAAAAAUUUUACCUCAGAUCAUUCCACCAUCAGUGUACAAGAUUGGCAACAAAACCUUCCGGCCAACUAUUGAGGAAGCCAGAACCUCUUUCACUGAUGUACAACCAUCUGGAACCAACAUGGUGCAGUACCUACUAAAACAAAGGGAGGAGAAGCCCUUCCCAUUUGUCUUAGAACUUGGAGUUGGUGGACAGUUUUUCGUGGUGGUGAAUGGGGAAGCCCUAGAAGAGCAGACUCUCCUCAAGGCAGUAGAUGUUUGUUUUAAGUCCUUUUUUUGCUUUGACACCCACUUUCCAAAACAAUGCGCCCCUGCCUGGGAGUUUUUGCAGCAGUGUGCCUCCAUUUAUGCUGCUGAGGACUAAAUUGUUUAUUAAACUAACUAAUGCAGGUAUUUUGUAUCCAUGUAUGUAUCUAUUUUUAUUUAUUUAUUUAUUUGGUGUAUUGUGAAUUGAUUUGCUACAAUUUAGUAAUUCAUGUACAUUCUUAAUAAUUAAAGCACUGCCUUGUUCCGAAAAUUUAAUUAAACACUGUUUGAAUUAUUUGAUGCUGGACUAAAUAAAUUAAAUGUUAAAUAAAAAUACUGAUAGUAUUUAUUUAAUUUGAUAUUCUGUUAAAAUAACUAUUUGCUAUUAUUUUGUCAUCCAAAAGUUUUUUAAUAGUUUUUUAUU